rnacentral:lncRNA from 10 species
GGGAUUACAGGCGUGAGCCACCAGGCAGGUGAGUAUGCCUAUUUUAACAUCCUAGAGCAACCUCAUCAAGCUGCACCUGGGACAGGCUACAGUAUCUGUGGAGAAUUCAUUAACAUUGUUUCCUUUUUAUCGACUAUUUUUACAGUAACCUUUGCAUCUCCCAGAGGGACACUAGAUUUCCGGUCACAGUACACAGUAAUGUUACAAUGUAUCCCCUAAGAUGAAUGGAGCUACUGCUGAGUUUUGUGUUUU